GAUGAAGAACGCAGCGAAAUGCGAUAAGUAAUGUGAAUUGCAGAAUUCAGUGAAUCAUCGAGUCUUUGAACGCACAUUGCGCCCCCUGGUAUUCCGGGGGGCAUGCCUGUCCGAGCGUCAUUGCCUCCCUCAAGCACGGCUUGUGUGUUGGGCCCCCGCCCCCCGGCUUCGGGGGGCGGGCCCGAAAGGCAGCGGCGGCACCGCGUCCGGUCCUCGAGCGUAUGGGGCUUCGUCACCCGCUCUGUAGGCCCGGCCGGCGCCCGCCGGCGACCCCAAUCAAUCUUUCCAGGUUGACCUCGGAUCAGGUAGGGAUACCCGCUGAACUUAAGCAUAUCAAUAAGCGGAGGA
rnacentral:misc_RNA from 1 species